AUUGACGGGGGCCCGCACAAGCAGCGGAGCAUGUGGUUUAAUUCGAAGCAACGCGAAGAACCUUACCUGGACUUGACAUCCCUUGCAUAGCCUAGAGAUAGGUGAAGCCCUUCGGGGCAAGGAGACAGGUGGUGCAUGGUUGUCGUCAGCUCGUGUCGUGAGAUGUUAGGUUAAGUCCUGCAACGAGCGCAACCCUUGUUAUUAGUUGCUACCAUUAAGUUGAGCACUCUAAUGAGACUGCCUGGGUAACCAGGAGGAAGGUGGGGAUGACGUCAAAUCAUCAUGCCCCUUAUGUCCAGGGCUACACACGUGCUACAAUGGUAGGUACAAUAAGACGCAAGACCGUGAGGUGGAGCAAAACUUAUAAAACCUAUCUCAGUUCGGAUUGUAGGCUGCAACUCGCCUACAUGAAGCUGGAGUUGCUAGUAAUCGCGAAUCAGAAUGUCGCGGUGAAUACGUUCCCGGGCCUUGUACACACCGCCCGUCACACCAUGAGAGCUGGUAACACC
rnacentral:rRNA from 1 species